rnacentral:rRNA from 1 species
AGAGUUUGAUCCUGGCUCAGGACGAACGCUGGCGGCGUGCUUAACACAUGCAAGUCGAACGGAAAGGCCCCUUUCGGGGGGUGCUCGAGUGGCGAACGGGUGAGUAACACGUGGGUGAUCUGCCCUGCACUUCGGGAUAAGCUUGGGAAACUGGGUCUAAUACCGGAUAGGACUACGGCCUGCAUGGGUUGUGGUGGAAAGUUUUUAAUGGUGUGGGAUGGGCCCGCGGCCUAUCAGCUUGUUGGUGGGGUGAUGGCCUACCAAGGCGACGACGGGUAGCCGGCCUGAGAGGGUGUCCGGCCACACUGGGACUGAGAUACGGCCCAGACUCCUACGGGAGGCAGCAGUGGGGAAUAUUGCACAAUGGGCGCAAGCCUGAUGCAGCGACGCCGCGUGGGGGAUGACGGCCUUCGGGUUGUAAA